rnacentral:lncRNA from 1 species
UAGUUUUAACCUGUCUUAUUUAAUUAAAAAAUUAAUUUUUAGCUAUUUUAUGUGAUCUAGCCCAUAAAAUUUGAGCCCAACAAGACCUAGCCCAGUCCAAACCCCCCACACCUUGUCUUCCUAAAAACAAGACAAAAAAACCCAAGACUAUCCCUUCUUCUUCUUGAAAAAAAAAAACCUUAGAAAGCCUUCUUCCUCAGCAUUCCAAGACUACAACAAUGUAGACCAUGAAAGCAAAACCCUAGAGAUACUAGCAGCCGCCACCAAACGACCACCCUAUACUCACCGUGAGACCCACCCUCACUACCAUAGCCGCCUGCUCACUCAUGCUACAUCGCUUUCUGCCACCUUCUCUUCUUCUUCUCCUCGCACUCGCUGGAAAAAACAACAGCCACGACUACCUACUGACCUCACUCCAAACGCCCGGAAACAGAAACCGUCGCCGGAACUCCUUUCUCCAUCACUCCAUAGCCGCGACGAAAAUCGGUGCCGCCGGACCACCCUUCUCGCCGCCGAACAACCAUACACGACCCCUCUCGUUCUUCUUCUCCGACUAACAGCAACAAUACAGCCACAUCCCUCUACAUCCUUUCUGCUGCUUCUACACAGACACACACACACCAACACAACCGAAAACCAAGAUAAAAAUGUAGUAAUAUCUUGGUUUCUCUUGCUCUAUAUUGGAUUCGGAACAGAGUCCAAGUUGCUUUAUACAGUGAAUUAGUUCCAUCUAAGUUUGGUUUCAUUUCAAAUUCAAAAAUAUUGAUUAAAAAAAACAAUUUUCGUAUUCUGGAUUUUGUCCAAAAUGGGUUAAAGCCGAGGAUGUUUUCAAAUUCCGGUGCCGAUUCGAAUUCCCGUCCGCGAUUCGUCCAAAUUUUGAGUUCAAAACGCCUUCACAAUUAAAAUUUUCAGAUUCAUUUGAGGGUCAUUUCUCAUUCCUUCUACCUUAUUUUUCUUAUCAUUGUGAUUCUGUCUUUUACUUAGUCUAUCUUUGCUUUGUUUCGUUGAUGGUAUGACUUAGCAUUCGAUGACUCUAUCUUGGAUUUUUGAGUACUUUGGCGAUUGUCAUUAUACAUUUUGCUGCUGCCUAUUCGUUUGUAUGUUGUUUGGUGAAUUUAUUGGAUAGGUUUGAUGGUUAGA